UACGGAGGGGGCUAGCGUUGUUCGGAAUUACUGGGCGUAAAGCGCACGUAGGCGGCUUUGUAAGUUAGAGGUGAAAGCCCGGGGCUCAACUCCGGAAUUGCCUUUAAGACUGCAUCGCUAGAAUUGUGGAGAGGUAAGUGGAAUUCCGAGUGUAGAGGUGAAAUUCGUAGAUAUUCGGAAGAACACCAGUGGCGAAGGCGGGUCUCUGGGCAGUAACUGACGCUGAGGAGCGAAAGCGUGGGGAGCGAACAGG
rnacentral:rRNA from 1 species